GACGAACGCUGGCGGCGUGCUUAACACAUGCAAGUCGAACGGAAAGGCCCUGCUUUUGUGGGGUGCUCGAGUGGCGAACGGGUGAGUAACACGUGAGUAACCUGCCCUUGACUUUGGGAUAACUUCAGGAAACUGGGGCUAAUACCGGAUAGGAGCUCCUGCUGCAUGGUGGGGGUUGGAAAGUUUCGGCGGUUGGGGAUGGACUCGCGGCUUAUCAGCUUGUUGGUGGGGUAGUGGCUUACCAAGGCUUUGACGGGUAGCCGGCCUGAGAGGGUGACCGGCCACAUGGGGACUGAGAGACGGCCCAGACUCCUACGGGAGGCAGCAGUGGGGAAUAUUGCACAAUGGGCGGAAGCCUGAUGCAGCAACGCCGCGUGCGGGAUGACGGCCUUCGGGUUGUAAACCGCUUUCGCCUGUGACGAAGCGUGAGUGACGGUAAUGGGUAAAGAAGCACCGGCUAACUACGUG
rnacentral:rRNA from 1 species